GACGAACCGUGCGAACGUUGUUCGGAAUCACUGGGCUUAAAGGGCGCGUAGGCGGGCUGCCAAGUUCGGGGUGAAAUCCUCCCGCUUAACGGGAGAACGGCCUCGAAUACUGGCGGUCUCGAGGGAGGUAGGGGCGUGCGGAACUAUGGGUGGAGCGGUGAAAUGCGUUGAUAUCCAUAGGAACUCCGGUGGCGAAGGCGGCACGCUGGACCUUUUCUGACGCUGAGGCGCGAAAGCCAGGGGAGCAAAC
rnacentral:rRNA from 1 species